CAGUAGCCACGGGAAUACAGAGGGUGCGAGCGUUAAUCGGAUUUACUGGGCGUAAAGCGUGCGUAGGCGGCUAAUUGAGUCGGAUGUGAAAUCCCCGAGCUUAACUUGGGAAUUGCAUUCGAUACUGGUUAGCUAGAGUGUGGGAGAGGAUGGUAGAAUUCCAGGUGUAGCGGUGAAAUGCGUAGAGAUCUGGAGGAAUACCGAUGGCGAAGGCAGCCAUCUGGCCUAACACUGACGCUGAGGUACGAAAGCAUGGGGAGCAAACAGGAUUAGAUACCCCCGUAGUCCCUGUCUCUUAUAA
rnacentral:rRNA from 1 species